AACGAACGCUGGCGGCGUGCCUAACACAUGCAAGUCGAACGGAAUUUGAGAGCUUGCUCUUAAAUUUAGUGGCGCACGGGUGAGUAACGCGUAGAUAAUCUGCCUGACGAUCUGGGAUAACACUUCGAAAGAGGUGCUAAUACCGGAUAAGCCCACGGAGUCUUUGGAUUCUGCGGGAAAAGGGGGGGACCUUCGGGCCUUCUGUCUGCAGAUGAGUCUGCGUACCAUUAGCUAGUUGGUAGGGUAAUGGCCUACCAAGGCGACGAUGGUUAGCUGGUCUGAGAGGAUGAGCAGCCACACUGGAACUGAGACACGGUCCAGACUCCUACGGGAGGCAGCAGUGGGGAAUUUUGCGCAAUGGGCGAAAGCCUGACGCAGCAACGCCGCGUGAGUGAUGAAGGCUUUCGGGUCGUAAAGCUCUGUCGAGGGGAAAGAAGUGUACUUUGGCUAAUAUCCAUUGUACUUGACGGUACCCCUAAAGGAAGCACCGGCUAACUCCGUGCCAGCCGCCGCUGUAAGAC
rnacentral:rRNA from 1 species